GUCCUAGCCGUAAACGAUGGACACUGAGUGGAGGAGGGCUUGCCCUUCUCUGCUGCAGCUAACGCGUUAAGUGUCCCGCCUGGGGAGUACGGCCGCAAGGUUAAAACUCAAAGGAAUUGACGGGGGCUCGCACAAGCGGUGGAGCAUGUGGUUCAAUUCGAUGCAACGCGAAGAACCUUACCCGGGCUUGAAGUGUGGGUGGUAGAAACCAGAAACGGUAACGACCCCGCAAGGGGAGCCUACAUCAGGUGUUGCAUGGCUGUCGU
rnacentral:rRNA from 1 species